UACAGGUGAAGCAAGAGCUUUUGCA
rnacentral:miRNA from 1 species